UGGGGCUGUGCUUCCAUGAUGUACUGCAUCUUACAAGCUGUAAUCCUCAGAAGUAGAACAUGGAAGGAAGAAGAAGUUUGGUUAGGCCUUCUUCAACAUGUCAAGCUGAAUGAUUGAGAGCUCUUUCGUGCCCAAAAGGAUCUGCAGCGACAACGCCAGCUGCCUGAUGACAUCUCUCUUCUCUUCGUCUUUUCCUGCGAUCUCCGACUUCAGAGCUGCGUUCUCCUCUUUGAGUCUUUCAACCUCACCCAUCAGCUUCACCAAAUCCGCGUCUGGCGUCUCCCUCCCCCUGCGCUCGCCUCCUUGUUCGGGAUCAUCCACUUCGGACUCCUCGGAGUCGUCGUCGGAAUCCGAGGCAGAGCUCCGCGACUCGUCUUCACCCUUGUCGCUGCUUAUGCUCCGUGCCCAGCUCCUGUCCAACCGAGACGCACCGAGCGCCGCGGUGACGCGACAUGCCGCACCGCCGGAUCUGAGUUGAUCGCACCGCACGGCCAGAGAGCGAUGUGCGCGGUGGAAGUCCUCGAUCAUGCUCACCAGCUGAGGCCUCUUCUUGUAGUACAUCUCGGCGCGCUUGGCGAAGGAGUCGGCAUCGUCCUCCACCAAUCGCAGCAUCUGUUUGGUCUUCUCGUCAAGCUCUGCAAGUGAACAAACAAGAUAUCAUUAGCAUCUAAAGAAAGAUUUCCCUUUCAGCUUAAAAUGAAUUGGUUGGUCUUCGGUUCAUCGAUAGACUUUCCUUCCACCUGAUCCCGACAAAGACACAUACUAAUUUAAACUAAGAUCUCA